CCAAUAGCGUAUACUAAAGUUGUUGCAGUUAAAAAGCUCGUAGUUGAAUUUCGGGGUUCAUCCGUUGGUCGGGCUUUUUUGGUCUGUACUGGCGUGAUGGAUUCCUACCUUCUGAAUAACCAGCAUGUCAUUAAUUUGGUGCGCUGGGGAAGCAGGACUGUUACCUUGAAAAAAUUAGAGUGCUUAAAGCAGGCUAUCGCCUGAAUACAUUAGCAUGGAAUAAUGAAAUAGGACGGCAUGGUUCUAUUUUGUUGGUUUCUAGGAUCACCGUAAUGAUUAAUAGGGAUAGUUGGGGGCAUUAGUAUUCAAUUGUCAGAGGUGAAAUUCUUGGAUUUAUUGAAGACUAACUUCUGCGAAAGCAUUUGCCAAGGAUGUUUUCAUUAAUCAAGAACGAAAGUUAGGGGAUCGAAGACGAUCAGAUACCGUCGUAGUCUUAACCAUAAACUAUGCCGACUAGGGGUCGGACGAUGUUAAUUUUUUAAUGACUCGUUCGGCGCCUUACG
rnacentral:rRNA from 1 species